GGAGAGGCGUCGGAUAAGUGUCAGAAGGAGAAGAGGAAGACGAUCAACGGCGACGAUUUGCUCUGGGCUAUGACUACUCUAGGUUUCGAGGAUUACGUUGAGCCAUUGAAAGUUUACUUGCAGAGGUUUAGAGAGAUUGAAGGGGAGAGGACUGGACUUGGGAGGCCACAGACCGGUGGUGAAGCCGGAGAGCAUCAGAGAGAUGCCAUCGGCGGCGAUGGCGGUGGAUUCUACGGUGGUGGGUUGCAGUAUCACCAGCAUCAUCAGUUUCUUCACCAGCAGAACCAUAUGUAUGGGUCCACAGGCGGUGGUGGUGGCGACGGUGGAGGAGGAGCUGCCUCCGGUAGGACAAGGACUUAAAAGAUUGGUGAAGUGGGUCUCUCUCUGUAUAUAGAUACAUAUAUACACGUGCCUAUUCUUACCCAUAGUCGUGAUGUAUAAGUAUCAUGUUGGUUAUGUAAAAUCAGAUGUGCAUUAAGG
rnacentral:lncRNA from 1 species